rnacentral:lncRNA from 1 species
CACCAUGGCGGACGCCGGCUCGGAUGGUUCUCUGCUGGCUUGCCGUUCUUGUCGCGCCCCUCCCCUCAGAUUGAUCUUUUUCUUUCCUCGUAAGCACCAGUAAUUAUCCAAAUCACCUUCUAUAUAAACCUCAAUCAAGCACUUUGACUAAAUUUGGCAUUUGGUUUCCAUAAAAAUCACAUUUAUUAGUUAAGACGACCACAGGCUGGACACAACACACAUGCUAAAAAGUGGACUGUCUUUUAAAACUUCAGUAGCACUUACCAGGGAAAUUGGCUUCAUAAAAAUUAAGAACUGGCUUCGGGCAGUUGUGACCUCUAACUGUAAUUUCCUUGCUUCUUCUAUAUGUUUCCACCUCUUGCUGCAAAACAAAUUAUAACAGUCUUAAAAUUCAUGACAACCACCCCUAGCUAAAUACGUAAUUGAUAAGCCCCUAACUUCAUAAUUUAGUAACUAGUUUAAAGCAGCCUUCAUUUUAAUCUGGACCCACCUAUUAACACCCUAUUAUGACAAGAAAAAAUUUAUUGUUAUACUCAACCUAAUUUAAGUAAAACAAAAUCCCAAAGCCACCUAUAUCCAAAAGUGAGUCACACCUUUCCCAAUUAUGAAGUCAGAACAUGUAACUCUACCAAAAUUGAGUUAUUUGCAAAACACCUGUCAGAAUUUCAUUUACUAGAAUCCAUGAUCGAGUUACAGCCCGAUGAAGCCACGUGAAUUUACUCACUGCUGUGCGCCUAGCCAAAUCAGGGUGCUCUUGAUAAAAAUUCUUCUCGAAUUUAGGCAGCUCAUCAAGAUUCCACUUCUUUUUAACUAAUUUCUCCCC